CGAGCCGGCCGGGCGGCCGCGUCACGGCUUCGACCGUGCCGAGGAACGUCCGGACUCCACAGGGCAGGGUGCUGGGUAACACCCAGUCGGGGCGACCCGCAGGACAGUGCCACAGAGAGCAGACCGCCGAUGGCCGGCUCCGGCCGGCACAGGCAAGGGUGAAACGGUGCGGUAAGAGCGCACCAGCGCCCGGGGCGACCCGGGCGGCUCGGCAAACCCCACCCGGAGCAAGGCCAGACAGGGGGAUGGGUGGCCCGCCUUCACCCCCGGGUAGGCCGCUGGAGCCGGCGGGCAACCGCCGGCCGAGAGGGAUGGCCGCCGCCGGCGCGAGCCGCUCCGCGGAGCGGUGGCGCCGGUACAGAAUCCGGCGUACAGGCCGGCUCGCCAC
rnacentral:RNase_P_RNA from 1 species